AUCACGCCGAAUAGAUUGCCUUGUCUGCAGUUGCCAGCACAAAACUUUUUGUUGUUGUUUUGUUUUUUGUUUUUGGGUGAAGCUCUUUCUCUUGGGCUUAUUAUUCCAAAAGGAAAACACCAGCAUUAUCAGGAGGACACUAGGUCACUGGUCCCUGGGGCAGCAGGUAUAGAGAAGCACCCACUGGAAGGAGUGAUAGAAGUAGCCCAAGUCUUGCUGGGCUCUAUAACCAGGUUAAUUGUUGUGAAGAUAGAAUCUUGAGAAAUGAUCACUUAGGUCACCAGGUUAAGGGUGCUAGAAGAACACAGAGGUCAGGGCCUGAGGUAAGGCUAAGAGAGCACAAGGGAAAUGAGGUAAAAAACACAGGUGUUAGAAUACCAGACUGCAUCAGGAAAACAGGGGUAGAAAAGUCACACCACAGCUCAGGCUCACUGUGUAGAAUGCAGAAAGGUUAAACUGCCAGGUAAAGAGCAAGCAUAGUCUGCUGCACUUGGUGGGGUCCCUUUUGCAUCUGUAGCUGCUAUGGCAACCCCUUUGUGUCUCGCCUACCUACUUUUUCUAUAAGGUUCUGAUGGUGAACACUAAUCUCUCACUUUUAGUUCUAGGUUCCUAAACCGGUAGAGCUACACCUAGGAAUGCGUGGGAAGAUUUCAUUUUCCACUCUGCUUUUUCAUUGACCUUCCUUGUGUUGGACUAUUGCUUCUGAUGGAGAAUCAGACUGAGACUGAAGAGCUUCUUCAACAGCUACUAUCAUGCUAGAAACUACUAUAGAAGAGUAAGGGCUAGCUCAGAGAAUCUGUCAUUCUUCUAGUCAUGAGAAUUAGGACCUUGGGUCAGACCUGAAAGGUUCCACUUGCCAGGAUGACUCUAGAAGCUCCAUGGCUGGUAUCCUGCUUGUUGUUUAGUCAGCUUCUGUUUGUGGACUCAGAUCAUGUUGACAGUAUCACAGGCUCUUGAAGAAAUGGAAAAUGAACGUAUUCUAUGGACUCAAAGAGGAGAUUUGGACACAAAGAGAGACACCAGGAAUGCACAUGCACAGAGGAAAGCAUGCUCUGUGUGAGGACACAGUAAAAAGUCGCCAUUUGGUAAGCCUCAGAAGACCAACCUGCCGACACCCUGAGCUUGUACCUGCAGCCUCUAGAACGGGAGAAAAUUUCUGUUGUUUGAGCCACUUAGUCUGUGGUAUUUUGUUAGGCCGCCCUCACAAAUUAACAUAAUACAUUACAUUAAUGAGGGGCCUGCUUUCUUUCGCUUCUUUUUUUUAAGAUUGAUUUUAUGUAUGUAUGUAUGUAUGUAUGUAUGUAUGUAUUUAUCAGAGCGAGAAGGAGAGCGCACAAGCAGGGGG